rnacentral:rRNA from 1 species
CCUACGGGAGGCAGCAGUGGGGAAUAUUGGACAAUGGGGGCAACCCUGAUCCAGCCAUGCCGCGUGUGUGAAGAAGUCCCUCGGGUUGUAAAGCACUUUCAGUGAGGAAGAACGCCUGGUGGUUAAUACCCAUCAGGAAAGACAUCACUCACAGAAGAAGCACCGGCUAACUCCGUGCCAGCAGCCGCGGUAAUACGGAGGGUGCGAGCGUUAAUCGGAAUUACUGGGCGUAAAGCGCGCGUAGGUGGCUUGAUAAGCCGGUUGUGAAAGCCCCGGGCUCAACCUGGGAACGGCAUCCGGAACUGUCAAGCUAGAGUGCAGGAGAGGAAGGUAGAAUUCCCGGUGUAGCGGUGAAAUGCGUAGAGAUCGGGAGGAAUACCAGUGGCGAAGGCGGCCUUCUGGACUGACACUGACACUGAGGUGCGAAAGCGUGGGUAGCAAACAGGAUUAGAUACCCUUGUAGUC